ACGAAUAACUAUGGUGUUGGUUGUAGCUGCCUUCUCGGAGGAUGUGCACGCCCGCCAUUCUUAUCUUUCCACCUGUGCACCGACUGUAGGUCUUGGAUAACUCUCGUCUCCUCAACUUGGGGAGCGGAUGCGAGGAUUGCUUUCGAGCUCUCCUCGAAUUUCCAGGUCUAUGUCUUUUUACAAACCCCAAAUAGUAUGAUUCAGAAUGUAGUCAAUGAAUGGGCUUUUACAGCCUAUAAAACAUUAUA
rnacentral:misc_RNA from 1 species